rnacentral:rRNA from 1 species
GACGAACGCUGGCGGCGUGCCUAAUACAUGCAAGUAGAACGCUGAAGGAGGAGCUUGCUUCUCUGGAUGAGUUGCGAACGGGUGAGUAACGCGUAGGUAACCUGCCUGGUAGCGGGGGAUAACUAUUGGAAACGAUAGCUAAUAUCGCAUAAGAGUAGAUGUUGCAUGACAUUUGCUUAAAAGGUGCAAUUGCAUCACUACCAGAUGGACCUGCGUUGUAUUAGCUAGUUGGUGGGGUAACGGCUUACCAAGGCGACGAUACAUAGCCGACCUGAGAGGGUGAUCGGCCACACUGGGACUGAGACACGGCCCAGACUCCUACGGGAGGCAGCAGUAGGGAAUCUUCGGCAAUGGACGGAAGUCUGACCGAGCAACGCCGCGUGAGUGAAGAAGGUUUUCGGAUCGUAAAGCUCUGUUGUAAGAGAAGAACGAGUGUGAGAGUGGAAAGUUCACACUGUGACGGUAUCUUACCAGAAAGGGACGGCUAACUACGUG